UCUUCUUCCCUCCCUUCUCUCUCUUAACUUUCACGGACGUUCUGUCUCUCUCUCUCUCCCUUUCUUUCUUCUUUAUACUUUCCCUUCUUUCUCUUCUCUUUCUUCUUCUCCGCUAUUCUCUCUUCAUUCUUCCUCCGUUUUCCUUUUCUCUCUAUAACACACGUUCUCUCUCUGUUUUUGGUUUUUGUAUUUCUCAGUUUUUUUUCUUUUUGGCUUUGCUGCAGAAUUGAAAGUGGGUCAUUUUUAAUGUUGAUUUGGGGGCUUUCGGUACACAUAUUCUUCUCUUCUCUCUCCAAUUACGGUUUUUUUCCCUUUUCUCUCACUCUCAGACGAACAUCAGGGAAGAUUUCUAUUGUCACUUUUGCCUUGGUUGUUUUCUUGCAAUUCUACUUGAACGCUAUAUGUUUGAUGAAAUAACUAAACAUAUUUUAGGAGAGAUUACUUCAAUCUUAAUAUGGGUCAUUUAUUCUCUUUCAAUUUUCAGUUUUUUUUUUCCCAACCCUUUUUCUACUUGAACUCUUUGUGUGUGAUGCAAGGUUUUUAUUAAUCAUGAAUCCAGGAAGACUUUUUUGUGGCCUUCGACUUUAUCUUUCUAAAUGUGAUUUAAAUGCAGGGGGUGCAAGAUGCGAAGAAGGCAAAGCUAUAUUCAAGGAUUGGAAAGGAAGUCGUUUCUGCAGAAAGCCAAAGAGCUUUAUGUGCCAAAGGAAAUUCUUGACUGUAAUAUUAAGAAAGGUUCUGAGAAGGGAUAAGAUGCGUACAUUGAGAAAAUCUAAGAGGCAGGAGGAUUCUGGUGGCCACCAAUGAGGGGAUCGACAUGAACACAUCGGGACGUAGCAGGGCCAUCUUUUCCAUUGUAUUUGAGGUCGAUGUCACGAAGCUCCACAUUCGUACAUGUACCCUUGGUCUAUGAGAAUAGGAUUGUCGACGUUAUUCAUGAUAAUGUUCUCAAAAUGUAUAUCAGAAGCAAAGCCAGGAGAAGAAUCAGGCCAUGUUUUGACUCUCACACCAGUCAUUGUGUUUGUAAGAGUGCAGCCAAUAACUCUAACCCCAGACACAGGCUGUUCAUUCUGGUACUUACCAAGACUUCCUAUGCUGAUUCCAUGGCCAGGUCCACAAUGUACUCCCUGGAUAAGUAUAUCCCGACUACCGUCACCGAGUGAGAUACAAUCAUCACCGGUGGAAAUGUUUGAGUUAAUCACGUUAAUCUUGGUUGAACGUCCGAUGUGAAUUCCAUCCGUAUUAGGGCUUUUUUCAGGUGCUUUGAUGGUAACAUGAUUGAAUGUAAGAUUUUGGCACCCAAAAACAUUAAUGUGGAAUUGUUUGCUGUUACGUGAUGUUAUGUU